rnacentral:rRNA from 1 species
CACAAGGGGUGAAGCCUGCGGUUCAAUUGGAGUCAACGCCUGAAACCUUACCCGGAGAGACAGCAGAAUGAAGGUCAAGCUGAAGACUUUACCAGACAAGCUGAGAGGUGGUGCAUGGCCGUCGCCAGCUCGUGCCGUGAGAUGUCCUGUUAAGUCAGGUAACGAGCGAGAUCCCUGCCUCUAGUUGCCACUAUUACACCCUGGUGUAGUAGGGCGAAUUAGGGGGACCGCCGCAGUUAAUGCGGAGGAAGGAAGGGGCCACGGCAGGUCAGUAUGCCCCGAAACUCUGGGGCCACACGCGGGCUGCAAUGGUAGCGACAAUGAGUCCCAAAAUCGAAAGAUAGAGGUAAUCCCUAAACGCUACCACAGUUAUGAUUGAGGGCUGCAACUCGCCCUCAUGAAUAUGGAAUCCCUAGUAACCGCGUGUCAUUAUCGCGCAGUGAAUACGUCCCUGCUCCUUGCACACACCGCCCGUCGUUUCAUUGAAGUUUGCCUUUAGCGAGGUGAUGUCUAAUUGGCAUUAUCGAACUUGGGGUAAGUGACAAGGGAAAAGUCGUAACAAGGUGACCGUAGGGGAACCUGCGGUCGGAUCACCUCCUU